UUUGGUGACAAUAGCACUGUGGUACCACCUGAUCCCAUGCCGAACUCAGAAGUGAAACGCAGUAGCGCCGAUGGUAGUGUGGGGUUUCCCCAUGUGAGAGUAGGUCAUCACCAAAC
rnacentral:rRNA from 1 species